GAACAACGUACAGCGGUAUAAUCCCUACUGGUCGAUAUGUAGCUCUUUAGGGGUAAGUCUCACAGCAUCCAGAUGAAUAUUAAAAAGUAAAACAUAAAGCAAACAACAGUGCUUACUGAGUAAAACUAAAAAGAGGGAAAACUAUAAAUGGUUAUUUACUCACAUUUUGUAGAGCAGUAACACCGCUGAAUAGAUAACGCUUGGGUGGAAUGAUCCCCACCAAGGAUAUAAUGUUGAGUAGAUUCUCCUGAAGGCAAUCCUUGCCAGGGAUUGGAUGUAGAGUAGAGUUUUAAAUGUGCC